CCUACGGGAGGCAGCAGUGAGGAAUAUUGGUCAAUGGACGAGAGUCUGAACCAGCCAAGUAGCGUGAAGGAUGACUGCCCUAUGGGUGGUAAACUUCUUUUAUAUGGGAAUAAAAUGUUCCACGUGUGGGAUUUUGUAUGUACCAUUAGAUUAAGGAUCGGCUAACACCGUGCCAGCAGCCGCGGUAAUACGGAGGAUCUGAGCGUUAUCCGGAUUUAUUGGGUUUAAAGGGAGCGUAGGUGGAUGUUUAAGUCAGUUGUGAAAGUUUGCGGCUCAACCGUAAAAUUGCAGUUGAAACUGGCAGUCUUGAGUACAGUAGAGGUGGGCGGAAUUCGUGGUGUAGCGGUGAAAUGCUUAGAUAUCACGAAGAACACCGAUUGCGAAGGCAGCUCACUGGACUGCAACUGACACUGAGGCUCGAAAGUGUGGGUAUCAAACAGGAUUAGAUACCCCUGUAGUC
rnacentral:rRNA from 1 species